rnacentral:rRNA from 1 species
AGUGAACGCUGGCGGUAGGCCUAACACAUGCAAGUCGAACGGCAGCACAGUAAGAGCUUGCUCUUCCAGGUGGCGAGUGGCGGACGGGUGAGGAAUACAUCGGAAUCUACUUUUUCGUGGGGGAUAACGAAGGGAAACUUACGCUAAUACAGCAUACGACCUACGGGUGAAAGCAGGGGAUAUUCGGACCUUGCGCGAUUGAAUGAGCCGAUGUCGGUUUAGCUAGUCGGCGGGGUAAAGGCCAACGCAGGGGACGAUCCGUAGCCGGUCGGAGUGGAUGAUCAGCGACCCUAGAACUGAGACACGGUCCAGGCUCCUACGGGAGGCAGCAGUGUGGAAUAUUGGACAAUGGUCGCAAGCCUGAUCCAGCCAUACCGCGUGGGUGGAGAAGGCCUUCGGGUUGUAAAGCCCUUUUGUUGGGAAAGAAAAGCAGCAGGUUAAUACCCCGCUGUUCUGACGGUACCCAGAGAAUAAGCACCGGCUAACUUCGUG